GGUUAAAUGAAGAAGGGCGCACGGUGAAUGCCUUGGCACUAGGAGCCGAUGAAGGACGCGACGAACAGCGAUAUGCUUCGGGGAGUUGUAAGUACACAUUGAUCCGAAGAUUUCCGAAUGGGGAAACCCACUACUUUUCACAGAGUAGUACUUGUUAGUGAAUACAUAGCUAAUAAGAGGCAGACCCGGAGAACUGAAACAUCUUAGUACCCGGAGGAAGAGAAAGCAAACGCGAUUUCCUUAGUAGCGGCGAGCGAAACGGAACAUAGCCCAAACCAAGUGGCUUGCCACUUGGGGUUGUAGGACACUCUAUACGGAGUUACAAAGAAACGAGAUAGAUGAAGCGACCUGGAACGGUCCAUCACAGAAGGUAAGAAUCCUGUAAUCGAAAUUUCGUUUCCUCUUGAGUGGAUCCUGAGUACGGCGGGACACGAGAAAUCCCGUCGGAAGCAGGGAGGACCAUCUCCCAAGGCUAAAUACUCCCUAGUGACCGAUAGUGAACCAGUACCGUGAGGGAAAGGUGAAAAGCACCCCGGAAGGGGAGUGAAAGAGAUCCUGAAACCGUGUGCCUACAAGUAGUCAGAGCCCGUUAAGGGGUGAUGGCGUGCCUUUUGUAGAAUGAACCGGCGAGUGACGUGUACGUGCAAGGUUAAGUUGAAGAGACGGAGCCGCAGCGAAAGCGAGUCUGAAUAGGGCGAGUUAGUACGUGAACGUCGACCCGAAACCGUGUGAUCUACCCAUGUCCAGGGUGAAGGUCGGGUAACACCGACUGGAGGCCCGAACCCACGUAGGUUGAAAGCUGCGGGGAUGAGGUGUGGGUAGGGGUGAAAUGCCAAUCGAACACGGAGAUAGCUGGUUCUCCCCGAAAUAGCUUUAGGGCUAGCCUCGGUUUUGAGAAUCCUGGAGGUAGAGCACUGAUUGGAUGAGGGGUCCUUACCGGAUUACCGAGUUCAGUCAAACUCCGAAUGCCAGAGAUUUAUGACCGGGAGUCAGACGGCGAGUGCUAAGAUCCGUCGUCAAGAGGGAAACAGCCCAGAUCACCAGCUAAGGUCCCAAAGUGUGUGUUAAGUGGGAAAGGAUGUGGCGUUGCUUAGACAACCAGGAUGUUGGCUUAGAAGCAGCCACCAUUGAAAGAGUGCGUAAUAGCUCACUGGUCGAGUGACGCUGCGCCGAAAAUGUACCGGGGCUAAACACACCACCGAAGCUGUGGCAACUCUUAGGAGUUGGGUAGGGGAGCGUUCUGUAGGCAGAGAAGGUUGACCGUGAGGACAGCUGGAGCGUACAGAAGUGAGAAUGCCGGUAUGAGUAGCGAAAAGAAGGGUGAGAAUCCCUUCCGUCGAAAAUCUAAGGUUUCCUGAGGAAGGCUCGUCCGCUCAGGGUUAGUCGGGUCCUAAGCUGAGGCCGAAAGGCGUAGGCGAUGGCAAACUGGUUGAAAUUCCAGUACCACCUUGUCUCUGUUUGAACAAUGGGGGGACGCAGAAAGGUAGGGAGAGCGUACAAUUGGAUGUGCGUCGAAGCGAACGAGGCCGUUGGAUAGGCAAAUCCGUCCAACAGAUAAGGCUGAGUCGUGACCGCGAAAGGGCAUAGCGCCCUUGAGUCCCUGAUCCUCCGCUGCCGAGAAAAGCCUCUAGUGAGGAGACAGGUGCCCGUACCGCAAACCGACACAGGUAGAUGGGAUGAGAAUUCUAAGACGCGCGGGAGAACUCUCGUUAAGGAACUCGGCAAAAUGACCCCGUAACUUCGGGAGAAGGGGUGCUCCUUGGGGUGAAUAGCCCUGGGGAGCCGCAGUGAAAAGGCCCAAGCGACUGUUUAUCAAAAACACAGGUCUCUGCGAAGUCGUAAGACGAAGUAUAGGGGCUGACACCUGCCCGGUGCUGGAAGGUUAAGAGGAGGACUUAGCUUCGGCGAAGGUUCGAAUUGAAGCCCCAGUAAACGGCGGCCGUAACUAUAACGGUCCUAAGGUAGCGAAAUUCCUUGUCGGGUAAGUUCCGACCCGCACGAAAGGUGCAACGACUUGGGCACUGUCUCAACGAGAGACCCGGUGAAAUUAUAGUACCUGUGAAGAUGCAGGUUACCCGCGACAGGACGGAAAGACCCCAUGGAGCUUUACUGCAGCUUGAUAUUGGGUUUGGGCACAGCUUGUACAGGAUAGGUAGGAGCCUUGGAAACCGGAGCGCUAGCUUCGGUGGAGGCGCUGGUGGGAUACUACCCUUGCUGUGUUGAAAUCCUAACCUCGAACCGUGAUCCGGUUCAGGAACAGUGUCUGGUGGGCAGUUUGACUGGGGCGGUCGCCUCCUAAAGAGUAACGGAGGCGCCCAAAGGUUCCCUCAGAAUGGUUGGAAAUCAUUCGAAGAGUGCAAAGGCAGAAGGGAGCUUGACUGCGAGACUUACAAGUCGAGCAGGGACGAAAGUCGGGCUUAGUGAUCCGGCGGCACCGUAUGGAAGGGCCGUCGCUCAACGGAUAAAAGCUACCCUGGGGAUAACAGGCUAAUCUCCCCCAAGAGUCCACAUCGACGGGGAGGUUUGGCACCUCGAUGUCGGCUCGUCGCAUCCUGGGGCUGAAGUAGGUCCCAAGGGUUGGGCUGUUCGCCCAUUAAAGCGGCACGCGAGCUGGGUUCAGAACGUCGUGAGACAGUUCGGUCCCUAUCCGUCGUGGGCGUUGGAAAUUUGAGAGGAGCUGUCCUUAGUACGAGAGGACCGGGAUGGACACACCGCUGGUGUACCAGUUGUUCCGCCAGGAGCAUCGCUGGGUAGCUACGUGUGGCAGGGAUAAGUGCUGAAAGCAUCUAAGCAUGAAGCCCCCCUCGAGAUGAGAUUUCCCAUCAUGUAAAUGAGUAAGACCCCUGAGAGACGAUCAGGUAGAUAGGUCUGGUGUGGAAGUGUGGCGACACAUGGAGCUGACAGAUACUAAUCGGUCGAGGAUUUAUCCAC
rnacentral:rRNA from 1 species